CAGUAGCCGCGGUAAAACAGAGGGUGCAAACGUUGUUCGGAAUUACUGGACGUAAAGCGAGUGUAGGCGGUCUCGUAAGUCGGACGUGAAAGCCCCGGGCUCAACCUGGGAAUUGCAGUGGAUACUGGGUCACUAGAGUGUGGUAGAGGAUAGUGGAAUUUCCGGUGUAGCAGUGAAAUGCGUAGAGAUCGGAAGGAACAUCUGUGGCGAAGGCGACUAUCUGGGCCAACACUGACACUGAGGCACGAAAGCGUGGGGAGCAAACAGGAUUAGAUACCCCUGUAGUCCCUGUCUCUUAUAC
rnacentral:rRNA from 1 species